rnacentral:rRNA from 1 species
GAUGAACGCUGGCGGCGUGCCUAAUACAUGCAAGUCGAGCGAACGGACGAGAAGCUUGCUUCUCUGAUGUUAGCGGCGGACGGGUGAGUAACACGUGGAUAACCUACCUAUAAGACUGGGAUAACUUCGGGAAACCGGAGCUAAUACCGGAUAAUAUUUUGAACCGCAUGGUUCAAAAGUGAAAGACGGCCUUGCUGUCACUUAUAGAUGGAUCCGCGCUGCAUUAGCUAGUUGGUAAGGUAACGGCUUACCAAGGCGACGAUGCAUAGCCGACCUGAGAGGGUGAUCGGCCACACUGGAACUGAGACACGGUCCAGACUCCUACGGGAGGCAGCAGUAGGGAAUCUUCCGCAAUGGGCGAAAGCCUGACGGAGCAACGCCGCGUGAGUGAUGAAGGUCUUCGGAUCGUAAAACUCUGUUAUUAGGGAAGAACAUAUGUGUAAGUAACUGUGCACAUCUUGACGGUACCUAAUCAGAAAGCCACGGCUAACUACGUG